UGGCGGCCGAGUCUAGCGGGAUUUGCCAAUAUCCUUUGCACAGGUUCAGGGUAGUUAGUGCCCGCUGGCCAUGCGAUCGAGCAAUUAGUUGAUCCGUUGCAUGGGGUAUGCGUCCGUGAUAGUCCGGUCAUUCAGUUUCCGGUAAUCAAUACAGAAGCAAGUCGUACCGUCUCGCUUUGGUACUAAAACCACCGGGGAUGCCUAGGGACUUUGGGAAGCCUCAAUGACUUCUAAUUCCAACAUUUCUUGGAUUUCUUUCCACAUGCU